CAAAGGGUCUCAAAUCAUCCUUUUUAUAAGGACAAUGUCAGAAAGGACAAUGCCUGGCAUUUAAUUGCAGUAGUUUUGGGAGUGGAAGAUGCAAGAUGAAGAGAUAGCAGAACAGUGAGCGUCCAGGCCAAGUGAGGCACAGACAUUUCCAGUCUUCCAGUUGUGUCCACCACACAACGUAGCUGACAUCGAACUCAAACACCUUGGUUGCUGCAACUUCCUGAUGAUUCAAACUGGAAUAAAAAUUGGACAUCUUCGUCCAAUUUUCUUUGAACAUUUAGUUUGGCUAAUAUUCAUUGCCAUUACUAAUAUAUCAGCAGGAUGUCCCUCGGAUGAAUAUCCAAUAAUGCAUCAUGAGUGUUGUCCUAAUUGCCAAACUG
ensembl:lncRNA